UGCUCUGGUGGCGAGUGGCGAACGGGUGAGUAAUAUAUCGGAACGUACCCUAGAGUGGGGGAUAACGUAGCGAAAGUUACGCUAAUACCGCAUACGAUCUAAGGAUGAAAGUGGGGGAUCGCAAGACCUCAUGCUCGUGGAGCGGCCGAUAUCUGAUUAGCUAGUUGGUAGGGUAAAAGCCUACCAAGGCAUCGAUCAGUAGCAGGUCUGAGAGGACGACCAGCCACACUGGAACUGAGACACGGUCCAGACUCCUACGGGAGGCAGCAGUGGGGAAUUUUGGACAAUGGGCGAAAGCCUGAUCCAGCAAUGCCGCGUGAGUGAAGAAGGCCUUCGGGUUGUAAAGCUCUUUUGUCGGGGAAGAAACGGUGAGAGCUAAUAUCUCUUGCUAAUGACGGUACCUGUAGAAUAAGCACCGGCUAACUACGUGCCAGCAGCCGCGGUAAUACGUAGGGUGCAAGCGUUAAUCGGAAUUACUGGGCGUAAAGCGUGCGCAGGCGGUUUUGUAAGUCUGAUGUGAAAUCCCCGGGCUCAACCUGNGAAUUGCAUUGGAGACUGCAAGGCUAGAAUCUGGC
rnacentral:rRNA from 1 species